UGAUCUGGAUUUGAGAUCUAUCACCCCAUUGAACAGGAUUGAUUUGGUUGAUCUCACUUCCCUUUCACACCACUCCAUGCAGAAACUCUAAGCUGCAUACUCACGGAAAGAGGAUGAGAUUUCUAAAAUAGAGAAGUUGCUGCUAGGGUUUAGCUCUAGUUGAGAUCUCCUCCUAGAGCCUCCAAACACACCUCAAGAACAAUGUUUUCUUAAAGACAUGCAAAAGAAAUAGAACAAGGUGGCCACACCCUUGCAGAAUCUUUAUAUGUAGCUGUUUAAAUAGUGU
rnacentral:sRNA from 1 species